rnacentral:lncRNA from 1 species
GGACCCAUUUUCCGAUGUCCAGGCCCACCUGGAGGCCCAUGGGAGAAGCCAUGCCUUAGUGGUGGCUGUCCCGGUGGCCCACCUGGAAAGCCGAAGGCCCCAAGCCCAGGAGGUGGUGGUCCUGGUGGCCUACUUGAAAAGCCGAAGGCCCCAAGCCCAGGAGGGGGUGGUCCAGGUGGUGGGCCAUGUUUAAGAUCGGAAUCUGUCAAAGCCAUUUCUUCCGGUAACCCAGGAAGCGAACGGGUCUCUCCAGGUUUGAUAUCCAUCACGCGAGCCUUCCACAUGGCGUACUCGAG